rnacentral:lncRNA from 1 species
UUUGAUUCUCUCUUCCCUCCUAUCUGUAACUAACAACCUCACCAUUUUUACUCUGCUUCAACUUCCGCUGCUGAUCUUUGCUGCUUCACAUUUCUGCUCCCGUUCGCCACAGAACAAACAGCUUCGACUCUUUCGAUCGAUGGACUUUUUAUCUCAGGUUUGCAGCUGAUAUUUUUUUGUUUCUUCUUCUGAUCGCUUCCGGAUUGUUUGCAGUUUUAGAUGAUGAGUUAAUUUGUGUUCUUUAACUGGUGGUAUAGAUUCUUCAAGUCUGGCUUUUUUUUUUCCCGAGCUGAUCGUGAACCCUGAUUCUUUUUUCCUUCGAUUUGAAGAUCGGAAAUGCAGUUAUAAUCUGAAGCUUAUAAUUUUGUACGGUCGCUUGGGAUAUUGACGGAGAGUUGAAGGCAGUAGAACGGAUUUGGAAAUUAACUGUGGUAAGUAAAUCAUGCUUGAGAUCCUUGUCAACCGUAAUCUUCUGAGUUCAGAGUCAGAUUUCCAGUUCACUUCUCAGUAUAUACAAUGUAGUCCGAGGCUUAGCCUGGGUUCAAUCCCAUGGUCCAAUUUUUGAAUGGUAUUUGUGCUUUAAGUGAAAAGCUAUGCUUACAUCUGAAGUAGGUCCUUGAGUUGCUUUCAACCUGCUAGCUUAUGAUCCAUAGAUUUCAGGGAUUGGUAAGAUCCGAACAUCCCAACGAGCCAAAAUAACGAUUUAUUUAGUGCAAACAGCUCGAUCAAUAGCCGGCAUUAUUCUCGAAGGUGCCGCUAUGAUUCCCUUCUUCUUUCGUGAAUGCAGAUUUCAAUCUGGGGUUAAAGAAGCCAAGUGAGAAAAAAGGUAUUGAAAGAGCUCCACAGGUACACACUUUCCAUCUUCUAUUUAUUGAAUUGUGUCUUAGUCUUGUUUUCUUAAUAGUAUUUGUUGGUUAAUCUUGAAUGCCAAAUGAUGAAAUGAUUCAUAAGCAGGCAUCAGUUGAUAUUGUAGAGAAUAGACAGAAACAGUUUCUUUUCAUUAGAUGGUAAUGAUGAUUGAUCAGAAUUACAACCAAGUUAACAAGACAACUACAAGGGAAGAGUUUUUUCCAUAUUGACUAAAACCCGCCCGGCAAAGAAAAAAAAAAGACCAGGGAAGAUUAAAAAGGACUGAAAUUCAAAACUAGUUCCAGCUCUGACUUUGAAAAUUAUAAGCUGGAACUCUGGUUACUUACUUAGUUCCUUUACUAGACACUUAUCUGUCCUGUCUAUGACUCUAUGUAUGAGGUUAUCCACUACCGCUGUUGCCUUCCUGUACUUGGUUCUUCAGUUGACUACCCCCCAGAUUUGGUUAAGAGAUCUACUUGAGCUAGACGACUUCCUCCACCUUGCUAGCCGCAACAAAAAUGUCAAAACUUCGGAUGGAUCAACUAGGGAGUGAGAUGCCUUGGUUUCCUUAGGGCAGGAUGUUACGAUAAUUGGGUACCCUGUUCCUCUUCGUUGUAUUACCUGCGAUAAAAAAAAAUCCAAGAUUUAACCAUUUUAGCAUCCUUGAAACAAUGCAAUAAGUGUGUCGGUUUGUACUUCACAUACCUUGAAAGCAUCCUCAUCAGUUCGGUCAUCCCCGAUAUACACUGGAAUAACGUCAGAGUUACUUAGGCCUAAUGUUUCUAGGAAAUACUCCACAGCAUGACCUUUGUCCCACUCUAUUGUUGGCCUUAUUUCCAUAACCUAAGGGUAAAGAUAACAAGUGUUAGGGGUACUAGAUAGAAGGAUGUAAUUAGUAAUUACUAAUACAGACAGUUUCAGCUCAAUAGACUUUGCAUUACCUUUUUACCCCAGCACAAGUGAAAGUCUGCAUAUUUUUCCAGCACAGACUUAACUUUCUCCUCUAGAGAUGGAUAAUCCUGAAUUCAAAAACCAACCAUCCUCUUUAUUAGCCAUCCAGUUGACAUUUCAUAUGCUAACUUCUUAUACAAAUUAUAGUGACAGUAUUGAAUUGAUAUAAAUCAGGGGGCUAACCUCAUCAUUGACUUGCCGGAAAUGUACAGAGACGCAGAACCGGUUAUCCUCCACCCUGGCGCCUUUCACUUUUGCUGUUUCCUCCUCCAGCUCUUUCAAUAUCUGUGGAAAAAUUCAAUGGAGACAUAUAUAGCUUAGGAUCAGAACAAUGGAUGCCUUCUAAUUUUAAAGCCGAUCACCAAGAUUUAAGUAUUCUGUUUUAGAUUUUUUACCUUCUCAAUUGUAGGCAAAAAUCUCUUUGCAGGUUGGAAAAGCACUUCAGUUCCCUGACAAAUUGAGCAGAGGCAUGUUAUUGACUCGAAAUCACAAGUUUUGUUUGGAAAGAGGAAAAUCCUCUGGUUCUACUCACCUUUUUGUCCAUUACCAAAGUUGGGGAAUGACCGUCGCAAGACUUAACCGGCCUUGGGGGCGCCAUGAUGUCCAUUCCA